AUGGAGUCUCGCACUGUUGCCCGGGCUAGAAUGCAGUGGUGCAAUCCGACUCACUGCAACCUCUGCCUCUCGGGUUCAAGUGAUUCUCCUGCUUCAGCCUCCUGAUUUGCUGGAAUUACAGAGCAAACCAGUGAGAAAAUGGCCUUCGUACUCCUGAGAGACCUUUCACCAGGCUUUCUACUUUUGAAUUCUCUCCAUAGCUGGUUUCCUCUUAGGCUCCGAUAGAGCAGUCCCUGAAUCACACAGGCAUGCUGACUACGUCCUUUCCUGGUACAAACCAUCAUGUGGGAAACACACAGCAAGAAGCAUCUUCAGGUCACAAGAUAGGCCUUCUAAGACUGAAUUAUAUCACCAGAUUUCCUGGGUCUCCAGCUUGCAGAUGGCACACUGUGGGACUUCUUAGCCUCCAGAAUCGUUGAAGCACCCAUUGAUUGCCCCUUACUCUAGAGAUUUACAGCUUUGUGCUUGUUGUGGCCACUGCUCCCAAAGUGACUAUAAUCCGGAGGAUCCCCAUGACCGUUCAGAGCAGGCAAGACACCAGCACUAGAAACUCUGAAAACCUAAAAGUCAAGAACAAUGCUUUUGCAUUUUCCUGUCCCUUCUAAAAUUUCAUUUUUAAGUGGUGAGAUAUCUUUAAGAAGAGGUUUCAAAAAUAAUGUAAAAAGUAUUGCUUUCAAGAUUUGAAAAUAAGCCAAUUCAACAAAUCCAAAAUAAAAAGCU
rnacentral:lncRNA from 1 species